rnacentral:rRNA from 1 species
GUACGGGAGGCAGCAGUGGGGAAUAUUGCACAAUGGGGGAAACCCUGAUGCAGCGACGCCGCGUGAAGGAUGAAGUAUUUCGGUAUGUAAACUUCUAUCAGCAGGGAAGAAAAUGACGGUACCUGACUAAGAAGCCCCGGCUAACUACGUGCCAGCAGCCGCGGUAAUACGUAGGGGGCAAGCGUUAUCCGGAUUUACUGGGUGUAAAGGGAGUGUAGACGGCAGUACAAGUCUGAAGUGAAAGCCCGGGGCUCAACCCCGGGACUGCUUUGGAAACUGUGCAGCUAGAGUGUCGGAGAGGCAAGCGGAAUUCCUAGUGUAGCGGUGAGAUGCGUAGAUAUUAGGAGGAACACCAGUGGCGAAGGCGGCUUGCUGGACGAUGACUGACGUUGAGGCUCGAAAGCGUGGGGAGCAAACAGGAUUAGAUACCCGAGUAGUCG